GCCGGGCGCGGUGGCGCGCGCCUGUAGUCCCAGCUACUCGGGAGGCUGAGGCUGGAGGAUCGCUUGAGCCCAGGAGUUCUGGGCUGCAGUGCGCUAUGCCGAUCGGGUGUCCGCACUAAGUUCGGCAUCAAUAUGGUGACCCUCCGGGAGCGGGGGACCACCAGGUUGCCUAAGGAGGGGUGAACCGGCCCAGGUCGGAAACGGAGCAGGUCAAAACUCCUGUGCUGAUCAGUAGUGGGAUCGCGCCUGUGAAUAGCCACUGUACUCCAGCCUGGGCAACAUAGCGAGACCCCGUCUCUU
rnacentral:SRP_RNA from 1 species